rnacentral:rRNA from 1 species
UACGGAGGGUGCAAGCGUUAUCCGGAUUCACUGGGCUUAAAGGGUGCGUAGGCGGGCAGGUAAGUCCGUGGUGAAAUCUCUGAGCUUAACUCAGAAACUGCCAUGGAUACUAUUUGUCUUGAAUGUUGUGGAGGUGAGCGGAAUAUGUCAUGUAGCGGUGAAAUGCUUAGAUAUGACAUAGAACACCAAUUGCGAAGGCAGCUCACUGCACAAAUAUUGACGCUGAGGCACGAAAGCGUGGGGAGCAAACAGG